AUUUUGAUUCGACUAUUCAAUCUUUCAAAAUUUGUUGAUUUGAAUCGGUCGUCGAUACUUUAAUUUCAAAAUUGAAGCUAAUUAUUUUUUUUAAUAAAUCGAUUAAUUUCAUAUAAGUUCCUGCAAACAUAGUGAAUGACAAAUAUAUUCCUACAAAGUUCAAGUUUUAUAUAUUGUCCCUGUGAAAGUCCCGAUAUUUUUCAAAUCCUACCGGUAGAAUCGAUUAGAAAAUUUUAAUUAACCAUAGGUUAAAUAUUUAACCCUCGUUAGUUUUUAAUAUUUUUAUCUCUCUUAUAUUAUACUGUUAUAUCUUUUGGAGGGACAUAUUUGUGAUGGCCAAAUUGAAAAUAUAAAUAGUUCUCUAAUGAUAACAAACCAAAGGGACAUAUUUGAUAAUACCAGAACUUUUGUAGGAGUAAUAAUAUAUAAAAGUUGUACUUUAUAGAAAUAUAUUUAUCAUUCAUUAUGUUUACAUGGACUUAUAUGAAAUUAAUUCUUAAUAAAUUUAUGGUUGCGAGAAUUGCAUGUAAUAUACUAAUUAAACCUAUAUUUUGAAGUAAAAAAAUUAUUGACCGGUUCAAAUUAAAUUAAAACUUUUAUAUAUUACCUAGUCAAAUCAGAAAGGUUCGAUAGUUUGAAUAAGUUUUGUAUGUUUUUACUUAAAAAAAAAAGAAAAAAGAUAGGGACAAUUUCCAACGUGAGAUCAUAUUAUCCGUCGUCCGUCGGCCAUUUUUUCGUUUUUGGUAAAAAUGUAUGGUGACCCCUUAACUAUAGGCCGUUUUGAAAUGAACCCCUCGACUUUUGUUUUUUUGGGAUUAAGACACCUUAACUUCUAAGUAUUUACGAAUUAAGUAAUUUUAGUAAAAUAUAAAUAAAAAAAUUUUAAAUACCACCUAUAUGGUUUCGCACUUUCUCACUUUAGUACCUUAUGAUUUAAAGUGUAUCACUUUCAUACUCUGUGACUUUAUUUUUUUUUCUUUUUGUUAUUCCCUCUACUAAUUUUUUUUUUAAAUCAGUGACAAAGUUAAAAUUAAAGGGUACUAAAGUGAAUAUUCAAUAAACUACAGGUGAUAAGUUAACGGAGGGGCUGACAAAAAGAGAAAAAUGAAACCACAUGGUAGUAAUUUGAUACACUUUAAACACAAGAUACUAAAGUAAGAAAGUGCGAAACCACAGGGUGGUAUUUAAAGUUUACCCAAUAUAAAUUAGAAAUCUAAGCAAAUCUUUAGUAUUUCAUCGAAUUCAUGGCUUCAAUUCAGAGAGUUAUUAAAUUUGAUAAAAUUUUUAACAUAAUUGGGCACAAAAACUCAAUGAAAAAAAAAGAACUUGAAGGGAUCUCAAUUAAAAAAAAAAAAAAAACAAAGCAAAACAAAAAAAGAAAAGUUGAGGGGACUAUUUCAAAACAGCAUAUCGUGAAGAGGGUCUCCAUUCAUUUCCCUAAAUUUUCUACUAAUUGGAUAAGUUUAUUAAAUGUAUUUAUAUAUAAAAAAAAACUUACUUGCAAAAGAUAACAAAAUUGAUAUGAAAAUCUUCGAAUGUUUUUAUGUCCUUGUCCUUAAAAUAUCUCUCAUAGACUUGAUUUGUCGCUGCUGAAUUAAUCCCUGGAAGACCUGUAAAGAUAUAUAUAAAUUAAGUAUGUUUUAUUUAUACAAACAUUAGAAAAAUAUUGGCUUAAAACAAAAUAUAGCAUCUAAAAAAUAGUGAAUGAGAAUAAGAGAGACAAUAAUUUGAUACGAGCGAAAAGCUUAAAGCUGUCAGAGAAUCGUAUCUUAAUAUUUUAUAUGUAUAUCCAACACUGCACCUCUGAUCUGCGAAGCUAGCAAGGUCUAUAUUUAUUUUGUAUAUUGUUGUUUGUUUUUAUUUUAGGCUAAAUUACAGAAAAUUUUUCUGUCACUAUCCACUUUUUUAUUUUCCUCCUCUGUCAUUCAAAAAUCGAUACUUUGCCUUCUUAGAAAAUGAAAAAUGUUCAUUUUGUCCCCGUCGUGAGUGCUUCGUUAGAGUUCCGUUUAUAUCAUAUUUUAUAUAUCCAAAAUAUCCCUGAAACGACCCUCCUCCUUCCUCAUCCUCGGCUGCGCCGCCUUGCCCUCCGCCGCGCCGCCUCGCCCUUCGCUGCCUCGCCCUCACCCACCUCUCUGUCCGUGCCCACACACACGCCCUCACCCUCACUCUCCCCCAUCCCGAAGAAGAUGAGGGGCAAUUUGAUUAUUUUGUUACAGCAUACUCCCUGUGAAAAUUUUUUAUUUUUUAUGAAUGUAAAGUGUAGGUUUUUUUAAUGACAUAGGAGAAAGUGAAAAGCAAAUAUUGACAGGUAGAUUUUCUAUAAUUUAACCUUAUUUUUAUACAUUGUAUGGUAUAUGUUAGAGAGAGUAAGGCUUGCAAUUCAACUCGCUGUUCGAAAGCUAACUCGUGUUUGGACCUAGAAGGAUUAAAGAGAGUAAUAAAAGAGANAUUUGUCAUUAGAAUCCGUUAAAAAAAUUUAUUUAAUCAUAAAUUAAAUAUUUAAUCCUGAUUGAUUUAUGAGAUAACUUGAUAUUUUUACCCCUCUUAUGUUAUACUGUUGUUACUUUUGGACGGACAUAUUUGUGAUAGUAAAAUUGACAUUUUAUUUAUUUGCUGUUAAAAUAUAAACAGUUCUCUAACGAUAACAAACCAGAAUGACAUAUUUGAAAAUAUUAGAACUUUUGCAGCGACAACAUAUGAAAGUUAAAGUUUAUAGAAUAUAUUUGUAAUUUACUAUUUUUGUAGGGAUCUGUAUGCAUUUAACUCUACACAAAAUUAUCUAAAAUAAAAUAGUUGAGGGGUUAUUUCAUGAUUACUAUAGUUGACAGGGGGGUCUCUACAUAACAUUUUGACCUAAAAAAUGAAUGAGUAGCUGUAGUCUUGCCUUUAUUUCAUCUCUGCUCAGUGACACAUCAUAAUGCUGUCCCGGCAAGGCCGCGUUAAACUCUCUGCCCCACAAUUAAAAAAAAUAAUAAUAAUAAUAAAUAAACUGAUGAUGCACGAAUCUUAAAGCACAAUGCGGAAAUUGGAGAGGUUAGUAUUCGAACUAUCAACUAUUUUGAUUCGACUAUUCAAUCUUUCAAAAUUUGUUGAUUUGAAUCGGUCGUCGAUACUUUAAUUUCAAAAUUGAAGCUAAUUAUUUUUUUUAAUAAAUCGAUUAAUUUCAUAUAAGUUCCUGCAAACAUAGUGAAUGACAAAUAUAUUCCUACAAAGUUCAAGUUUUAUAUAUUGUCCCUGUGAAAGUCCCGAUAUUUUUCAAAUCCUACCGGUAGAAUCGAUUAGAAAAUUUUAAUUAACCAUAGGUUAAAUAUUUAACCCUCGUUAGUUUUUAAUAUUUUUAUCUCUCUUAUAUUAUACUGUUAUAUCUUUUGGAGGGACAUAUUUGUGAUGGCCAAAUUGAAAAUAUAAAUAGUUCUCUAAUGAUAACAAACCAAAGGGACAUAUUUGAUAAUACCAGAACUUUUGUAGGAGUAAUAAUAUAUAAAAGUUGUACUUUAUAGAAAUAUAUUUAUCAUUCAUUAUGUUUACAUGGACUUAUAUGAAAUUAAUUCUUAAUAAAUUUAUGGUUGCGAGAAUUGCAUGU
rnacentral:lncRNA from 1 species